rfam:Ipomoea nil DNA, scaffold: scaffold2942, cultivar: Tokyo-kokei standard.
GUCAGGAUGGCCAAGUGGUCUAAAGUGCCAGACUCAAGUUUUGGUCCUCAUGAGAUGGCGUGGGUUCAAAUCCCACUUUUGACA